ACAAAAAACAUCGGGGCUCGUUGGCAGAGCAACCGAAGGGCAACGAAACAAAACACAGCCGAGGGGUUGUUUUUGGCAAACAAAACAAAAGUCGGAUCGACCUCGAACGCCGAGCGACCAGGUCGCUAGGCCGAGGGAUCCGGCGAACUCGCUGGGUUUUCUCAGCGCCUUGGGCCGUCGAAGCCUCCUCCUCCGAGGGGCUCCGUCGCCUUAAGUACAGACGAGCUCGACCGCGACCCCGGGCUUCCGGAACGGUGGGUCGCUUCAUUCAAAAAGCACUCGGCAUCGUCGGGAGGUUGGCCUCGACGUUAUAAGCACCCGAGUAUGUACUUUCUCACGUAUACCAACAGAUUUCUUACACAAAACCCGGGGGCGGAGUCGGGAGGCUCUGCUUUUUUCGGGGGUCGGCCGGCGUACCUCGUUGCGCGCCGCGACCGACCGAAUUGGCAUCUUACUUUGUUGA
rnacentral:misc_RNA from 1 species